GCCCCGGUAAACGGCGGCCGUAACUAUAACGGUCCUAAGGUAGCGAAAUUCCUUGUCGGGUAAGUUCCGACCUGCACGAAUGGCGUAAUGAUGGCCAGGCUGUCUCCACCCGAGACUCAGUGAAAUUGAACUCGCUGUGAAGAUGCAGUGUACCCGCGGCAAGACGGAAAGACCCCGUGAACCUUUACUAUAGCUUGACACUGAACAUUGAGCCUUGAUGUGUAGGAUAGGUGGGAGGCUUUGAAGUGUGGACGCCAGUCUGCAUGGAGCCGACCUUGAAAUACCACCCUUUAAUGUUUGAUGUUCUAACGUUGGCCCGUAAUCCGGGUUGCGGACAGUGUCUGGU
rnacentral:rRNA from 1 species